AUACGGAGGAUCCGAGCGUUAUCCGGAUUUAUUGGGUUUAAAGGGUGCGCAGGCGGCCAUUUAAGUCAGCGGUUAAAUCGUGGGGCUCAACCCCAUUCUGCCGUUGAUACUGGGUGGCUUGAUUGCGGUCGAGGUUGGCGGAAUUCGUUGUGUAGCGGUGAAAUGCAUAGAUAUGACGAAGAACACCGAUUGCGUAGGCAGCUGUACAGACCGCAAAUGACGCUCAUGCACGAAAGUGCGGGGAUCGAACAGGAUUAGAUACCCUGGUAGGCCGCACAGUAAACGAUGAAUACUUGUUUUCGGCGAUAUAAUGUCGGAGGCAAAGCGAAAGCGAUAAGUAUUCCCCCUGGGGAGUACGCCGGCAACGGUGAAACUCAAAUGAAUUGACGGGG
rnacentral:rRNA from 1 species